AUUUCCUGUUUCUCUCUUCUCAGACUGGAGUCACAGACUUUUCUUUUUAUUUACUACACAAAAUCAAGACAAACAAAAAGACUCAAUAAACGUACCAAUCCUUGUCCCUGCUCCCUACUUUUAAUAUCAGUCUUGCUGUCCAUUCUGUCUUCCUCUGGUUUUCUCUGCUCUGACUUCAAAAUCACAAAAUGUUUUAUUUUCAUCAUCAUCAAAAACUGCCCUCUUCUCUUCACUGCCCCCUGCUGACCACCAGGAGAACACCGAGUCCGGGCGAGUGUCCCAGGAGUCGGACUUCCACCUCUGACGUCACUGGUGUGUCAACACUCAAACUGCAGCACCAACACCUGCUGCUGUACUGCCACCAUGAGGUAUGAGGAGCACAUGACAGGGCCUGAGAGGAAUUUAACGUGUACGACUGUAGUAUAAUACGCUUAGCAAUACUACCAAAGGUGUAAUAUUCAGAACUAUAUUCAGUACUAAAUAUAUAUUUAUAUAUUAUAUAAGUAGUAUCAUUUAUAUAGUGUAUAUAAACGAUUCUGAAGCAGUUCAACCUCCAAGCGGUGGUGGACCUGUGUGAUGACGUCGACGUGAGGAAGUGUCCGCUCCUCAUACUCUUUGGUAUCCGGUGUCUUCGGCGGACGUUGACUCAGUACUGGAGGACCUGUUGUCUGGACCGGUACUGACGUCGGUUCCAGGGAGUGUAUGACGUCAGCAGUUCUCCGUUACUGUCCACAGUGAGACACAGUCAUCAGUACCGAUGGUUCUGAUCUGGUUCACAGACUGGAUCAGGUUCAGGUCUGAGGUUCUGCUCCAUGAACGUGACCUUUGAGAGCGAUGAUGCUGUCACAGUGUGACGUCACUGCAGCUGAACAUGUGUUAAAAAUGAACACUUUCUCUAUGAGGUUCUGAAUGAGGACAGUGACGUCACCUGGUGUUGUUAUGGUAUUUAUAUGAAGCACUUUCUUCAGUAACUGGUUAAUAAUCUGUUAUUGAUCAUGGAUUAAUGCCCCCUGCAGGUCGGACGGAGUACUGAGCUCUGGUCAAUAAUGACGUCAUAGCAGCAGCUGCUGACUGAAGGGGCGGGGCAUAUUGAAGGGGGCGGGGCCACAGUAGUCAGCCAAUACUGCAAAGAUGAGCUGAUGAGAGGACAAGAGGAGCUGAGCUUUGAAGAGCUGCGAUCUGAGAGAUACUUCCUGCACAAGGAGGGGAAGCUGAAGCAGCAGCUUCAGCAGAGAAGAAAACCAGAGUCUUGGACCUUCACAUGUCACAGCAGACCAGAGACUGUGUCGAACCUGAACCUGGACCUGGACCUGGACCUGGACCUGUAGCUGCACCAUCCACUUCCUUUCACAACUAUGAUGACUCCCAACCUACUGCUGCAGCAUGGGCUGAUGGAAAUGUUCAUACAUUGGACAACAUCUUCCUGCCGCCUGGAGACAAACCACCAGGUGUCAGUGUCCAGAACAAGAGCCAAGUUGAGGAAAUGAGUGUGGAGACUACGAGCUGCUGGUCAGUGCAGGAAGAUGACCAGCAGGUGGCAGAGCUGCACCAACAGAGGGUGGAUGUUGAGAACCAAGCAGUGGUGCAGGGGGACCAGCUCUGUCCAGCUCUCAGGGCAGGUGUGUGUGUGUGUGUGGGGGGGGGGUUCUAGGACAUGGGUGUGGUGCAGUGAAUCCCUGUGACCAGCAGGUGAAACUGAAACUGUUGGAGCUCUGUGAUGUCACUUCCUGCCCUGGUCUAUACCAUGAGUCACAGAAGCUUCCAGAAGUGAGCAGCAGUCUGCAGCUCGGGGGCUGUCUGUACCACAUCCACUCUGGACUGGUGGUCUCAGCAGGUUUCAAGGUUUACGCAGCAGCGUUGGACGACCACGGCGUGCUCAUAAAGGUGGACCAGCGCAGGGUUCCCUGGGACUUUCAUCAGUACCGUCGUCUGAAGGAAGGCUCUGACAUCAUGAGUGGACUUCCUCCAAUCAGCUGCUUCCUGUUUCUGGACGGCUGUGUGACCGUCUACACCAGUCCACCUGACCACAAGUUCUUGGUAUUAGUCCCAGAUGUGGACCUGGACCACCCUGACCUCCAUAAACAGACUGGAACAUCUCACCCCCAUCUCACCCCUCCUCCCCCUUCAGUUUCUAGUUUGUCUGAUGUUGAGGGUCAUCUGACAUGUUUAACUGUGUGUGUGUGUGUGUGUGUGAGAGAGAGAGAGAGAUCAGGCUCUGACAGAGUUUGGAGGCGGAGCCUGCAGUAAGACCCUCCUUCUCCUCCAGCUGCUGCGUGGUCUGCACACCUCUGGUCUCCUCCACUCCUCCCUCCGACCAGAGCUUCUGUGUUGUUCUUACAGGUGAGCAGGAUCUGGACUGGUCCUCAGGUCUGUGGGAUCUGGACUGACUUCAUGUCAUGUGACCUUGUGGUCUUUAAGAGGUUUAUUGGACCUGGUUGGAAUCUUCCCCUUGGAUUGGUCGUCUUCUCUGGACCUCAACCUCCAACAGGAAGUGACAUCAGUGCAGCACUUGGCCACGGCCCAGCCCUACAUCAGUCUGGGUCUCCUGAAGCCCACUGACCCACCUCAGCUGGUGGACCUGGUGGGCGUGGCCGAGAUGACUGGCAGCAGGAUGGUCCUGGUCCAGGACUUUGAGGGUUGGACAGUGGAGCACCUUAGCAGAGAUCAGCCCUGUGACAUGUGUCCCAGCACCUGGAGGACCUGGACCAGGUUUUUCCGUGUAUUGCUGAACACUGGUGGUGGCUGGUCACUGGACCUGCUGUCAGAUCUGGAUGAUCAGCUGACUGUGAUGUGAAGAACCUUCAAAAAUAAAUGAUCAGUUCUAGGUUCUGUUCUAGUACUGUGUUUUAUUCAUCCACACCCCAAAUACCACCAGCCCUAAAAUAGUACCAGGCUCGGCCUCACCACAUAACCUGCAGGGGGCACUCUGACACUCCAGGUGGACUGAGAUCCCCC